rnacentral:lncRNA from 1 species
UCCGACUUCUUCUUCUUCGGACUUUUGUAAUUAUCUUGUACUUAUAUACUUGUCAUUUUUACUCUAGAGUAUCCGCAGUAGGAAAUUUUAAAAUUUAUAUAACUAUUCUGACUCCUGUUGGUAGUAUGAUGAUGUAUUAUGCAAGACAAUUAUGACUAUUUUAUAUUUGGUUAAUUGUAUAUAUGGAUUUGCGGGUUGGUAAGGCUUACUACGGGUUUCGGUGGCCUUAAG